CCCCCACCUUAAGCUCCUACUUUGAUAGAAUCAGAACCUAUUUUGUAUCUCCUAUCACAGGGUGAGGCUGAAACCAACAUCGAGUCUAAAUAACAACAAAAGAACUACAAUAGAGAGAGCAAAGGUAACCAACUAUCAAACCCGAACUGCCGUCCAGUAAGCUUGAUUAAGAACCACACAACGAUCGGGCAUCUGGAAAUGGAAGAGAAUAACGAUAAGCACCGGAAGGUCUAGAUGGAAGAUAAAUUGUAUUAGAAGAAAUACUAUACUAACUCCCUCUGCCACCCUCGAAAAACAUAUCAUGACCAUCAAAGGAUUGAUUGUGUGCAAUAACUGACUAAGAUUAGCCCUACCUUAAGCCCUACUUUGAUAAAAUUAAAACUUAAUUUUUAUCUCAUGUCAUAGGGUGGGGCAGAAAACAAUAUCACGUCUAUGUACAAACAAAAAUUGUUGAAAUGACAAAAGAUAACCAAACAUCAAACCAGAAGUGUCAUCCAGUUAAGAACCACCCCACGAUCAGACAUCUGGAAAUUGAAGAGUAUAUCUAUAAGCACGGGAAACUCUAGGUAGAAGAGAAAAUGUAUAGAAAUAAAAAUACUAUUAUGUACUCCCUUUGCCACCCUCGAUUAACACAAUAUCAAUGACUCAUCAAAGAUCUGUCCGCGUCCAAAAACCAGACCAAGAUAGCCCCCACAUUAAGCUCCUACAGUGAUGGAAUCAAAACCUAUUUUGUAUCUCCUGUCACAGGGUAGGCCCAAAACAAUAUCCAAGUCUAUAUAACAACAAAAGAAUAUAAUAGAGAGAUCAAAUGCAACCAAUUAUGAACCCAGAACUGCCUUCCAGUUAAGCUUGAUUAAGAACCAAACAACGAUCAGGCAUCUGGAAAUCGAAGAGAAUAACAAUAAGCACGGGAAAGUCAAGAUGGAAGAUAAAUUGUAGCAGAAUUAAUACAAUACUAUACUCCCUCUGACACCCUCGAUAAACAUUAUAUCAGUGACAGCAUCAAAAGUUGAUGUCUCCAGUAACUAGACCAAGAUUAGCCCCACCAUAAGCUGCUUCUUUCACAACUUAAUUUUUAACUCCUGUCACAAGGUGAGGCAGAAAACAAUAUCCACGUCUACGUAACAAAUAAAAGAUUGUUGAAACUGACAAAAGAUAACCAAGCAUACCAGAAGUGCCUUCCAGUUAAGAACCACACAACAAUCAGACAUCUGGAAAUUGAAGAGUAUAACUAUUAGCACGGGAAACUCUAGGUAGAAGAGAAAAUGUAGGUAGAAAAAAAAUACUAUUAGUACUCCCUUUACCACCCACUAUUAACACUAUAUCAAUGACAGCAUGAAGGAUUUGUCAGUGUCCAAAAACCAGACCAAGACAGCCCCCACCUUAAGCUCCUACUUGAUAGAAUCAGAACCUAUUUUGUAUCUCCUAUCACAGGGUGAGGCUGAAACCAACAUCCGAGUCUAAAUAACAACAAAAGAACUACAAUAGAGAGAGCAAAGGUAACCAACUAUCAAACCCGAACUGCCGUCCAGUUAAGCUUGAUUAAGAACCACACAACGAUCGGGCAUCUGGAAAUGAAGAGAAUAACGAUAAGCACCGGAAGGUCUAGAUGGAAGAUAAAUUGUAUAGAAGAAAUACUAUACUAUACUCCCUCUGCCACCCUCGAUAAACACACUAUAUAGUGACCACGUCAAAGGAUUGACUUGUGUGCAAUAACUUGACUAAGAUUAGCCCUACCUUAAGCUCCUACUUGAUAAAAUUAAAACUUAAUUUUUAUCUCAUGUCAUAGGGUGGGGCAGAAAACAAUAUCCACGUCUAUGUAGCAAACAAAAUUGUUGAACUGACAAAAGAUAACCAAACAUCAAACAGAAGUGUCUCCAGUUAAGAACCACCCCACGAUCAGACAUCUGGAAAUUGAAGAGUAUAUCUAUAAGCACGGGAAACUCGAGGUAGAAGAGAAAAUGUAGUAGAAUAAAAAUACUAUUAUGUACUCCCUUUGCCACCCUCGAUUAACACAAUAUCAAUGACUACAUCAAAGAUCUGUCGCGUCCAAAAACCAGACCAAGAUAGCCCCCACAUUAAGCUCCUACAGUGAUGGAAUCAAAACCUAUUUUGUAUCUCCUGUCACAGGGUAGGCUCAAAACAAUAUCCAAGUCUAUAUAACAACAAAAGAAAUAUAAUAGAGAGAUCAAAUGCAACCAAUUAUGAACCCAGAACUGCCUUCCAGUUAAGCUUGAUUAAGAACCAAACAACGAUCAGGCAUCUGGAAAUCGAAGAGAAUAACAAUAAGCACGGGAAAGUCAAGAUGGAAGAUAAAUUGUAGCAGAAUUAAUACAAUACUAUACUCCCUCUGACACCCUCGAUAAACAUUAUAUCAGUGACAGCAUCAAAAGUUGAUAGUCUCCAUAACUAGACCAAGAUUAGCCCCACCAUAAGUGCUUCUUUCACAACUUAAUUUUUAACCCCUGUCACAAGGUGAGGCAGAAAACAAUAUCCACGUCUACGUAACAAAUAAAAGAUUGUUGAAACUGACAAAAGAUAACCAAGCAUACCAGAAGUGCCUUCCAGUUAAGAACCACACAACA
rnacentral:lncRNA from 1 species